CCUUCGAAUUAACUUUUCACACUAAAUGUUUGCUGAGCACUUUCCAGCGUCAGUUUUCAUCUGAAACUGUUGCAUAAGUGACGUUCCGAGGUGGCUGACAGACAGAGCAGCGGCUGAUGUGGGUCAGGACUCGUUUCUGUGCAGCUCUGUGGUUCUGGCAUCCUCUGUUGAUUCGCCGCCACUCAGGGGGCGUCUCACUCCUGAUGACAUACAGUCGCUCUGAGAGUUGCGUCAUGCCUGGAUUAGUGUGUUUGUGUGUGCAAAUGAAUCCUCUAUGAGGGCUAAUCAUUCUUCUGUUUGUUGUUUUGCUGCCGGGAAGAAGCCCUUCAGUUUGGAAAAGCGUUUGAGGGAACAGAAAGGCAGCAGAGCGACUUCCUGUGCAGCCGUUUGCAGCUGGACUCUCAUGACUAAUAACAGGAGGGUAUAAACGCUCGCACUCGCAGAUGUCGCGUCCUGCCACGGCCCUCAUCAUGCUGGAUGAACGAAGAACAAAAAGUGAAAUAUUGUCUCUGAAACUUCAUGACAGGUUUAUACCCAAAACAAAGUCAACAAAAGAGGACAAAAACAGAACAGAAAGACUACGGGACGUGAACGAACCAGAAAAGUCACGAGUUCUUCCUGUUUGUGGUCAGAGGAGAAGUCAGACGAACGUUUGUGGCGGUCUCGUCAAAGAGCGGAAAUGUUUUUUCUUCAUUCUUCCUGACUAAACCGGCCCGUCAUGAAUGAUCCCUCAGCGCGCUGACGCUGUGAUCCUCCAGAAUCCAGAAGAUGUAAACAAAAGGAGAAAGAUGUUCAUCUUUUUGCUUCCUUUCCUGCUUCACUUUCAGCUUCUGCCUGAUGUUUUUCAAAAGUAUCGUGCAAAGAAAAGGAAGUAGAAGAAACUGCAAGACACUGGAUACAAAUAUUACUAUAGGCUGUGAAUGGAAGACAAACUGUUGAGAUGUUGACUAAAAAAAUACAAGUAUGCUAUAUGCUUUAAAAAUUAGAGUAUACUUAAACUAAAAAAUGAAAAAA